GAGGUCGUGGCUGGAGGUCGUGGCUGGAGGUCGUGGCUGGAGGACGUGGCUGGAGGACGUGUCUGGAGGUCGUGGCUGGAGGUCGUGGCUGGAGGUCGUGGCUGGAGGUCGUGGCUGGAGGUCGUGGCUGGAGGACGUGGCUGGAGGCCGUGGCUGGAGGACGUGGCUGGAGGUCGUGGCUGGAGGACGUGGCUGGAGGACGUGUCUGGAGGACGUGUCUGGAGGACGUGUCUGGAGGACGUGGCUAAAGGACGUGUCUGGAGGUCGUGGCUGGAGGUCGUGGCUGGAGGUCGUGGCUGGAGGACGUGGCUGGAGGACGUGUCUGGAGGUCGUGGCUGGAGGACGUGGCUGGAGGUCGUGGCUGGAGGACGUGGCUGAAAGAUGCAGUAGAAACAGCAGGGAAUAACACUGACGCACUGAAGUCUGAGAAGUAACGGGACCAAAGACUGUGACAAAAACAAUUCAUGGAGUGAGAAAGGACUGUUCAACGUUGAUCUGACCAAUCGGAAUCUAUGCUUCAAGAUUGUUUUUAUCACGCAGACUGGGAGAUGUUCUGGGUCGCCUCUGAAAAUAGUAUCGAUGUAUACACUGACUCGGCGACUGGGUUCAUCGGGAAGUGCAUAGAGGAUGUUGUACCCACUGUGACGAUUAGAAUUUAUCCAAAUCAAAAACUGUGGAUAGAUGGCAGCAUUAGCACAGAACUAAGAGCCACAUUUAACCAUGGCAAGGUGACGGAACAUGGACGUUUAGAAACAGACCAGCUACGACCUCCGUAAAGGCAAUCAAAAAGGCAGAAUGAGAGUACAGGGACAAAGCGGAGUCGGGAAUUCAUCGGCUCGGACACGAGAUGUAUGUGGCAGGAACUCCAGACAAUCACAGAUUAUAAAGGGAAAGCCAGCCACGUCACAGACCCCGACACCUCGCUCCCAGACGAGCUAAACACCUUCUUCGCCCACUUCAAGGAAAACAAUAUCAAGCCACCGACACGGGCCCCCCUGCCACUCACGAGGACUGUGUGCUCUCGCUGCCGGCCCAGACAGCAUCCCAAGCCGCGUCCUCAGAGCAUGUGCAGACCAGCUGGCUGGAGUGUUUACAGACAUAUUCAAUCUCUCCCUAUACCAGUCUGCUGUCCCCACUUGCUUCAAGAUGUCAACCAAUUUUCCUGUACCAAAGAAAGCUAAGGUCACUGAACUAAAUGACUCCCGCCCCAUAGCACUCACUUCUGUCAUCAUGAAGUGCUUUGAGAGACUAGUCAAGGACCAUAUCACCUCCACCUUACCAGACACCCUAGACCCACUACAAUUCACAUAAUCGCCCACUACAAUUCACAUAACCGUCUCAACAGAUCCACGGACGACGCAAUCGCCAUUCCACUGCAGACUGCCCUUUCCCAUCUGGACAAGAUAAAUACUUACGUAAGAAUGCUGUUCAUCGACUUCAUCCCCCGAGUUCCACCACAACGCAUCACCGGGGGGCACACUACCUGCCCUCCAGGACAUCUACAGCACCCAGUGUCACAGGAAGGCCAAGAAGAUCAUCAAGGACCUCAGCCACCUGAUCCACGGCCUGUUCACCCCGCUACCAUCUAGAAGAUCAUCAAGGACCUCAGCCUCCUGAGCCACGGCCUGUUCACCCCGCUACCAUCUAGAAGAUCAUCAAGGACCUCAGCCACCUGAGCCACGGCCUGUUCACCCCGCUACCAUCUAGAAGGAGGAGACAGUACAGGUGCGUGAAAGCUGGGACAGAGACACUGAUUAAUAGCGCCUAUCUCCAGGGCAUCAGACUGUUAAGUAGUCACCAC
rnacentral:lncRNA from 1 species